rnacentral:rRNA from 1 species
GUGGGGAAUAUUGGACAAUGGGCGAAAGCCUGAUCCAGCCAUGCCGCGUGAGUGAUGAAGGCCUUAGGGUUGUAAAGCUCUUUCAGUAGGGAAGAUAAUGACGGUACCUACAGAAGAAGCCCCGGCUAACUUCGUGCCAGCAGCCGCGGUAAUACGAAGGGGGCUAGCGUUGUUCGGAUUUACUGGGCGUAAAGCGCACGUAGGCGGAUCGUUAAGUCGGGGGUGAAAUCCUGGAGCUCAACUCCAGAACUGCCUUCGAUACUGGCGAUCUUGAGUCCGGAAGAGGUGAGUGGAACUCCUAGUGUAGAGGUGGAAUUCGUAGAUAUUAGGAAGAACACCAGUGGCGAAGGCGGCUCACUGGUCCGGUACUGACGCUGAGGUGCGAAAGCGUGGGGAGCAAACAGGAUUAGAUACCCUUGUAGUCC